CUUUUACAACACUGAGGAGAAGGCAUUCAAGACAGAUAUCAGUUCAUGUUGUCUGCAAGUGAUUCCAGACGUUUCAGCACCUGGGCAACAGUGCUGGACAGUGGAUUGCUGAAAGGAAAAACACCCAGUUGGUUUUCGAUAGCCAUUGAUAAUUGGAGAGCAGCAUUGGAAUGUGACAGUUUGUCUAUUAGACUUGCUAGAUUACCAACCCCAGCAUGGACCAAUCUCUCAUUCCAUCUUCUAGAGAACCUUGGAUAACUGAUUAUUGGUGGGGUUGUGUGUCGAGUCAUGUCCUUUGAAGAAAAUGGACAAUGCCUAUACAGUCAACAAGGUCCUUUGUUUGGUAACCCAUUGGCUGCUUCCCUUGAAUAUCCCUUUUUACUUCCUGAAACAGGCCCUCUUGAUUUGAGGGUAACUCCUUCGCUUGUCGUGGACUUCAUUCAUUGGUGAAAACUGAUAAGAGAAAGCUGUAAUUCAAGACUGAUAGUUGUUUGAUGUCUAAGCCGGAAGCCUACCAUGGUUAAUCGCUCUCGUAAUAACUGUUCCUCAACUCUUCGCUCUUUUUCUGGUUUCUCUUAACCAUUGGCCAUGUCUUAACCGUUGUCUCUGGCUGCAGUCAAUUAAGGCAGUAUCUCCCCCUGUCUUGAUUGACCGUAUGUGCGAGUUUCAAAAGCUGCUUAUCACCCAAAUGAGACAAAAAGGAGUUUGUUAGGUUUGUUUUAUUUGGGUAUAAAUAGCUUUAAAAUUUGCACAGAACAACAUUUGUCUUGUACCGGACGCUUUGUUUAUUAAAUUUCAUGCAUUUUGGCCUAAAAUUGUAGUUAAAUGAAUUAACUUGAUUAAAUAAAGUUUAAUUAUAUUAACUUAA